UACGUAGGGGGCAAGCGUUGUCCGGAUUUAUUGGGCGUAAAAGAGCGUGUGAGGCGGCCUGAUAGGUCGGUUGUGAAAACUGGAGGCUUAACCUUCAGACGUCGACCGAAACCAUCUGGCUAGAGUCCGGAAGAGGAGAGUGGAAUUCCUGGUGUAGCGGUGAAAUGCGCAGAUAUCAGGAAGAACACCCGUGGCUAAGGCGGCUCUCUAGUACGGUACUGACGCUGAGACGCGAAAGCGUGGGGAGCGAACAGG
rnacentral:rRNA from 1 species